rnacentral:lncRNA from 1 species
GAGGGGAAGUAUGUUGUUGAUAUUGACAAAAGUAUAGACAUUACGAAAAUCACUCCAUCAACGAGAGUUGCUCUUCGUAAUGAUAGCUAUGUUCUCCACCUGGUUCUGCCAAGUAAAGUAGAUCCCUUGGUUAACCUUAUGAAAGUUGAGAAGGUUCCAGACUCCACCUAUGACAUGAUUGGUGGUCUUGACCAGCAGAUUAAGGAAAUAAAGGAGGUAUGCUUAGUGAAUGAGAAACCGAAACUAAAAGUCACUACAGUAUUGGCUAUCUCCUCUGUUGUUUCAUCCUUUUAAUGUUUAUAUAAUAUCUAUAUCUUUUCUGGUUUAUCAGGUCAUUGAGCUGCCAAUCAAGCAUCCUGAAUUGUUUGAGUCUCUUGGAAUUGCGCAGCCAAAGGUACACUUGAAUCUUAAACCUUCUUCUCCAUAUUGUGAUGAUGCUAAGUGGAUUAGACGUAAUCUCAUCUCUCUGUCUUUCUAGGGUGUGUUGUUAUACGGUCCACCUGGAACUGGGAAGACACUAUUGGCUCGGGCUGUUGCACAUCACACUGACUGUACUUUCAUAAGAGUUUCUGGUUCCGAGCUUGUCCAGAAAUACAUUGGAGAAGGUUCUAGAAUGGUCAGAGAACUUUUUGUGAUGGCAAGGUUAGUAUAUGGUAGUCCCUAUUUUAAAUUUCAAGCAUGGUAAUAGUGGUUGAUAGGAAAAUAUGGAACUGUUGAUAAGAUAACAUCUUUUAACAUGUCCGCCAUUAGUUGCUAUAAAAUGGACAUGAGCUGUUAAGUUAAAUGGGGAAAGUGUUCUUUGUUGCUACAAUGAAUAUGGUUCCGUUGUGAAUGAAUAUCGUUCUAUAAAGUAUUCUUUGUCAUAGUGCUUAGCAUUUAGGCCACAGUGCCAAGUCUCAUGUAAGGAGCAAAUUACAAAUAGGUGAGAUGAUUCGUUGAAAAUACUCUUUCCAGUUGGCUUACACCGGUUUAUGGUUUUCAGGGAGCAUGCACCAUCAAUCAUCUUCAUGGAUGAAAUCGAUAGUAUUGGGUCUGCUCGUAUGGAAUCUGGAAGUGGAAAUGGUGACAGUGAGGUGCAACGGACCAUGCUCGAGCUUCUCAAUCAACUUGACGGUUUUGAAGCGUCAAACAAAAUCAAGGUACCUAUUAAGUUGUAAAGGAAAAAAAACCAUAAGUUGAAUAGGAUGAGUCUGUGUUAUUGUAGUCUGAAAUUGCUGACAGAGUCAUAUUCUCUUUAAUGACUGUUGCAGGUUUUGAUGGCUACAAAUCGUAUUGAUAUUCUGGAUCAAGCUCUUCUCAGGCCUGGAAGAAUUGAUAGGAAAAUUGAAUUUCCUAAUCCUAAUGAAGAGGUAAUACUUGUGCUCUGAGAAAAUGAUAUUGACUGUUGUUUUUGGUGAUAUGAAUACAUUAUUCGUCAAAGUAGGCACCUUAUUUAGUAUUUAGACUAUCAUUUGCAGCAUAAAAAACUUUUCUUUAUCUCCAUACUCAUUUUACUCAAGUGAGGCAGGACGGUUUGGCUAAUGUAUGUUUCCAAAAUGUGUUGCAGUCACGUUUUGACAUCUUGAAGAUUCACUCGAGGAAAAUGAAUUUGAUGCGUGGAAUCGAUCUGAAAAAGAUUGCAGAGAAGAUGAAUGGCGCUUCAGGUGCUGAGCUGAAGGUAAAGUGUUUUCUAUUUCUCUACUUCUAUCUUGUUCUCUCUACAUUUUGCCUCUCUCUUAUGUUUUUGGUUAAUACGGUCAGGCUGUGUGCACGGAGGCGGGAAUGUUUGCUCUGCGUGAGAGGAGAGUACACGUGACACAAGAAGACUUUGAGAUGGCGGUGGCCAAGGUAAUGAAGAAAGACACGGAGAAGAACAUGUCUCUGCGUAAGCUGUGGAAGUAGGAAUCUCUCAUGGAAAGACUUUCUUUACUUUACUGUUUGUUGUUUGAUUCUGAAACCUUUUUUCGGUUGUCUCAUGAAAACAUUUUAGAACAAAGUUUUUACUAUCUAGACACGAGUUUAUCUAGUAUGCGAUUUGAGGUCAAUGGAAGGAAAUUCCCAAAACUCAAGAACCUGAGCUUAUAAGACCAAAACAAGCAGAACCUUCACAUGUUAAGAGUUCUUCUGUCCGAAACUGUCAUAUUCCAUUAGAGAGAAAAAGCCUAUAAUGUAAAUGUUAUGAUAAUUUAUUUCAAUUACAAAUUUUACGCACGAAUUUGGUUUAUUCGGUAUGGUUUAGCUCGGUUACCAAAGUUUUGGUGUAUGCUUAAGUUGUGGUUUUGGACUUUUUGUAUUGCAGACUUAUAAAAUAACAAAACCAAGCGGUUUAUAAAUUUUGUUAAUUUUGGGUUGGUUCCGUCAUUCCAUUUUUUAUUUUUCUCCCAAAUAAAAAAUCAUAUGAAAUUAAACUUAAAAAGAGCAAGAUCUUUAAUACAAGAUCUUUAAUACAAGUUUAGCAAAAAAAAGAUCUUUAAUACAAAUGAUAACAUAGUUACAAAAUUAUACAAAACAUAUGAUAUUAAUGAAUUAUAUAAUACACAAUAAGCAAUGGAAAAGAAAAAUACAAUAGCUUAUAUCUUGUUCUCUGGACAUUUUGCACCUUUCUUAUGUUUCCAGUUAUUACGUUUAAACUUUGUGCACAGAAACGAAAAUAUUUGAUAUGCGUGAGAGGAGAGUACACGUGACAUAAGAAUACUGAGAUGGCGGUGGCGAAAGUAACGAAAAACACACACAAAGAAGAACAAGCCUCUGAGUAAGUUCUGGAAGUAGGAAUCUCUUUGUUAUGUAAUUCAAGUCAAUGGAAAACCACAUUUUCAUUUCGGAUAUGACAAAUUAGAGUUUCUUUACUUUGCUGUCGAUUGCUGGUUUUGAAACCCUUUUUCGGUUGAUUCAUCAAACAUUUUUAGAUUAAGUUUUUAUGACCUAAAUAUUUUUUUUUUAUAUCUAAAUGUGUCUUUAAAACGAACACAUGUUCAAAGUUUUUAUGUCCAAAUCAGUUAUCAUAUUUGAUUAGAGAGAAAAAAGCUAUAAAGUUAAUAUUAUUAUAAUUUAAUUAAUAUGACUAUUUUAGUAAUAAAAUCCUUCAACUAAAGAUGAAUCGUGAGAAAACCUAUCAAUUAUUUAUUUAGUGAAAAAACUCUAAACUUAAAAUUUGUUAAUGUAAAUCCUCAUCCAUCUAUAUUGUCGUGAAAAUUGGACGGAUUACAAUUAAAAUAAAAUGUAAUAUUUUUCACAAAUUGAAAAAUAAUAAAUAUACACUUAAACAAUAAAAAUUGUAAAUAAAAACAACAAAAUGUUCUUAUUUAUACCGAAUCUAAAUUUUCUAAUUUAUUUAAGCUCUAAAAUUUAGAAAGUGAAAAAUGAGAUUUUUAUAAGGUUUGUGUGUUGUCGAAGUCGAUUCAUUUUAAUUUGACCCUAACCCGUCUAAUUUUUAUUACUAAAAAUGAAGAGAGAAUUGUAUUAACAGAAUUUAAAUUAAAGGGUAUUUUUACAAUCAUCUUUAGUCGAGUGGUUUUAUUACUAAAAACUUUUUUUUAAAAUACAAAUGUUUAUGCAAUAAUAUGGUUUAUUCGGUGUGGUUUUAGUUGGGUUACCCAAAAAAGUUUUAAUAAUAGGCUUUAGUUGUGGUUUUGGUAUUGCAGACAUUAAAAAUAACAAAACCAAGCGGUUUAUAGACUCGGUUUAUUUUGGGUCGUUCGUUUUCCAUUUUAUUCUCACAAAAUAAAAAAUAGUAAAUUGAACUUACAAAAAAAAAAAAGAUGUCUUGUUGGAUAAUCCAAGGUUCUUUUCUAUAUAAAGGUUCUUUGCUCAUGAUCUUAGUCCCUGUGAUCUAUCUUUGAAUCUCAAAAGCAUACUUGAGAGAGAUCUGUUUCGAUAAUUUGCUUCAAUCACCGUGUUAAUGGCGGCCGUAGGAGUGGAGGCGAGACCUCCUGUGACAGCGAUGGAGGAAACCUGCAACGUUAAGGGAGCGGCGGCGAAACAAGGAGAAGGGCUUAACAAGUACUACCUCCAGCAUCUCGAUGAGCUCCAGCGCCUGCAACGCGAAAAGUCGUAUAACCUUAAUCGUCUUGAAGCUCAGAGGAAUGAACUCAAUUCUCGAGGUCUCUUUUUCCUUCUCUAACUCUAAUUUUCAUUGAAUUUCUUUGCAAAGUUGGAUCUUUUGAUCAUCUUCUUAAGUUUAGUAAUCUCGAAUUCCAUAUUAGGACUUUAGAUUUCGUCUGGGUGCUUUAAAUUUAUAAAUUGUUGCGGUGAUUGUUUGGAUUGAGGGUUUCUGAUCUUUUCCAGAACUGGAUCUAAACUAUGCUGCGCCUUGAUUUUUAGCAUCACUAAGUUACCCUAUUGAGAUUUCUUCUUGAUUCUGUUUGUGUUGAGUAUGAAUCAGCUUCUGUCAAUAUUUGAUUGUUUAGCAAAGUAUGUAGUGAUUGAUACAAUCGAUGUAUACUGCUGAACAUUUUAAACCUUGUUGUCAUUGUAAACUGAACAGUACGAAUGCUCAGAGAAGAGUUACAGCUCCUUCAAGAACCUGGGUCCUAUGUGGGUGAAGUGGUAAAAGUGAUGGGAAAAAACAAGGUCUUGGUUAAGGUAUGAAUGUUUUUAUCGUAUUAUCUAGAUUGGUUUUUGAAUUGUUUGCAAUCAUAUGAACAUUGAUAGAAUAAUACUUUCCCAUGUUUCAGGUUCAUCCAGAGGGGAAGUAUGUUGUCGAUAUUGACAAAAGUAUAGACAUAACGAAACUCACUCCAUCAACGAGAGUUGCUCUCCGUAAUGAUAGCUAUGUUCUCCACCUGGUUCUGCCAAGUAAAGUAGAUCCCUUGGUUAACCUUAUGAAAGUUGAGAAGGUUCCAGACUCCACAUAUGACAUGAUUGGUGGUCUUGACCAGCAAAUCAAGGAAAUAAAGGAGGU